rnacentral:lncRNA from 1 species
GCGCUUACAAAAUGUUACAGUUUGGAGUAACAUUCUUGCCUCCUACUUUACUAUAAAAGAAAGAUGAGAGUUGUUCAUUAUGUGGCUGCUUCCUGCUGAAUAGGGGCACUGUAGUCAGGGUUUGGGUUUUGAAGUACUGCGUGUCGUCUUCAGAGUUGUUUUCCUGGAGGCGCUGAUACCGGACUUGGUGGAGAAGGAUGGUAUGAAUGUGUUUCUAGGUGGCUGCCUGGACAAGGGAGUUCAGCCUUUGGGAGAUAAAGCAGAAUAUAAAGGAAGCACACUUGAGUUUGAUACAUGGAGAGCUGCACCAGCAGAGAGGGGCAGGGUUGGUAAGGAGGUGUUUUAUGAAAUCCAGCUUGAAACAUGUUUCGUUUAGAGGCCAUGAAGUAAAGGAGGGCGACAUCCCAGUGUGUGACAGUGUGGGUUUAUUUGAUGGAUUGGGGGAAAGGUGUUUAGCUGAGCAAGAUUAUAAACAGGUUUUGGGAAUGGAUUGGCUGAGUAGGUGAGAUGCAGGUUUAUUUUGGACCAGGUUUAUGUGGUUAGGUUAACAGGAAGGGCUGUGAUUUGCUGGAUUUAUGUGGACAAAUAAAUUUAACAGUUGGAAGAAAGAGGGAAGUGUAACUGAUUAAAAGGUAAUGUGUGAGGUUGACAAAGGGGCCCCAACUGCCAAAGGUUGGGGGUGGGGACUUAGAGUAUCCAACAGACAAAGAAGACAAAAAGAAAAAAUAAAAACAAAAACGGAGAUUUGAGUAGGAGUGAUAUCCUGGAAGGUGUCCUGCAGCCAUAGCUCCUGGAUUAAUGUGAGGAACUGGAGUGGUCUAUCCAGGGACACGGGAGGGAAUACUGGGAAAGAUUUGAAACAAAGUAUGAGAUAAAAGAUUUGAAAUUGGAGGCAGAGAAUGUCAUGGACCAGGGCCUUCUGGAUCGGCAACUUCUGGAAUUUUUGUAAGCGCAGCAAGUCAGUCCUGUGAGGGAGGAAGAAUAAUUUGGGGAUGAGGAAAUUUCUGGAAGUGGAAUUGGUGGUCUUUUUAGUUUGGAAUGGUGUAUCCAAUAUGGAUAGGAUGUUAGCUUUGCUGCCAUGAGAGUAGUUAGGAUUACCUGGUGAGGACCCAUCCACUUUGGUUGGAGAGAGGAGGAGGAGGAGUCUGUGAUUCAGACCCAGUCCCCUGGUUGUAGGGACAGGGAGGAGUGUCUGGAGGAUGGGCUUUCAGGCUGGGGCAAGUAAGCAUUUGCACACUGUCUUGUUAGAUGUUGAGUGAGGUGUAAUGCCAGCCAAGUAUCCCAUAUAGAAGGGGGAGGAGAUGAAGGAAGAUCCUGGAGGAUAAAGGGGCAUCUGUACAUGAGUUCAAAUGGGCUUAGGCUGAGGGGCUUGUGGGGAAUGGCUCACAAAUGCAUGAGGGCCAAUGGGAGAAGUGAAGUCCAGGUCGUCUUAACCUCAAGGGAGAGUUUGGUUAGUUGUUGUUUCAGAAGGGCAUUGGCCUGUUCAAUCUUACUGGAAGAUUGGGGGUUACAGGGAAUAUGGAAAGCCCAUUUAAUGUUUAGAGCCUUUGCUUGCUGUUGGUUAACCUGUGAAAUAAAUGUUGGCCCAUUGUCUGACUGGAUGGUAGAGGGGAGUUCAAACUGGGGGAUAGUAUGAGUGAGGAGAAUAGAAGUGACAGUGUGUGCCCUUUUGGUGGUGGUAGGAAAAGCUUUUAUCCAGAGAAUAUAUUUACUGCUGUCACAAGGUAUUGGACUCUUUUUAUGGGGGGGCAUGUGGGUGAAGUCGAUUUGCCAGUCCUGCCCUGACAGGUGUCCUCAGGCCUGGUGUGCAGGAAAGGAGGUGAUUUGAUAGCUUCCUGAGGGGAAGUUUGAGUGCAAAGGGAACAUGCCUUAGAAAUAUUUUUGAGAUUAGCAGCCAUGGUGGGAGAAUGUAUAUAACCUUUUAAGAGAUGGAGUAGUGGGCAGUAACCAGCAUAAAAAUUGUUGUGCACUUAUAAAAGUACAGAAGUUUUUUGUGACUUGAGUAAGACAAUUUUAUUAUUGAGGUAGAACCAUUUUAAUUCCUGAAUGGUGCCAGCCUAGGUGACUGAGAUUUGUUCCUCUUGGGUAUAUAUAGGGUGUAUGUUGGGAAAAAUGGGCAAUAAUGAUUUUUUAAGGGCUGUCUGCUGGGCCGCCGAACUUGCUAAAAACUUUCCCUUGUUUAUGGCAUUUGUAGCCUUUUAGUGUCCUUUACAAUGGAUGAUGGCAGCCUGUGAUGGUAGUUUAGCUGCCUCCAGCAGCUUGUAUAUGAGUUUGCCAUUUCCUAUGGGGGUUCUUUUUGUAGCUAGAAAAACCCUUUCCGGCUAGCUUAAGGCGUGAGAGUGUAGGAUGUGGUAUGUGUAUUUGGAAUUCAUGUAAAUAUUAAUUCUCUUUCCCUUUGCUAGGGUGAGGGCCGUGGUUAGAAAAACUAGCUUCACCUGUUGAGGGGUAGUAUGAGGCGGGAGAGCAUUGGAUUUUAGGAGUUUGUUUUUGGCAAUGAUGAGUUUGUUUUUGGCAGCUGCUGGACAUGGCUCCCUAAAAGAGCUUCUGUUAAUGAACCAUGUAGGGGUUCCCUGCAAAGGGGCUUCCAAAAUGUGUUGGAAGUGGGAAGAGAGGGAGUCUAAGAGGUCCAGGCAGGAGUGAGAGAGAGCUCAGAGUUGGAGGUGUUUACAGGGAGAAGGGUGGCCAGGUUGAGAGCUUUACAUUUCUGGAAAGUGAUUUAGAGAGUUUCCUAUGAAUAAGGCAUGUACCUGCUGUAAGCAGGAUGGUGAGAGGGAUAGAAGAGAAUGAUGGCUUAUGAGGUUCUAUAGGUUAUGGGAAGAUGCAUUACACAUAGUAAUGUGUUGUUAGAAAGUGAGUUUCUGUGCCUCUGAGGCCAGCAAUGUGGCCACACCUAAGAUUUUUAGGCACAGUGGCCAGCCUUGAAUGAGAGUCCGGUUGUUUUGAGAGGUAUGUAACGGCUUGUGGGGCAUUGCUGUAUGUUUGGUAGUCCAUAAGCAAGGCCUUGGUCAGAAUGUACAUACAGAGUAAAGGGGUUGGUGGGGUUGGGCAGUCCCAGUGCUGGGGCCAUUAAAAAGGCAUUUUUUUAGUUUUUUAAAGUGGGAGUUGAUGGGGCAAGCUGGGUUCAGGGAUUUUAGGAUGGGCCCAUGUGAGGCCGUGUAGAACAGCUUGGACAGCAAGCCAAACUUGGGAAUCUACAGCUGGAAGUAUCCCACAAGACCCAAGAAGGAGAGGAGGUCCUCCUUUGUGUGGGAAAGAGGAAUAUCCCAAUUUAGCUCAUUUCACUGAGUUGAGAAGGCCUGAGAAUUAGGCGGUAGAGUAAGCCCAAGGUAAGUGACCUGGGUUUGGGCUACCUGAGCCUUUGUGGGUGAGACCCGAUAUCCUUGACUAUGGAGGAAAUUUAAAAGCUGAGUGGUGUGUUCAAAGGACAGGUUAAGGGAGGGGCUACAGAGAAGGAGGUUAUUGACGUAUUAGAGGAGGGUGCUAGGAAUAAGGGGAAGUUCAGCUAGAUUCUUGGUGAGGGCCUGUCUGAAUAGGUGGGGACUAUCCUGGAACCCCUGUGGGAGUAUGAUCCAUGUUAGUUGGGAGGAUGUGUAUUAGGAUUUGACCAAGUGAAAGCAAAAAGACUUUGGGAAGCAAAAUUUAAGGGAAUAGUGAAAAAGGUGUCCUUUAGAUCCAAUACAGAGAAGUGUGUGGUAGAUGAGGGAAUAUGGGAGAGUAGAGUAUAUGAUUGGGACCACCAGAUAGAUAGGCCUAGUUAACAACUCAGAGAUCCUGGACCAAGAGGUAAGACCUGUCUGUCUUAUUGACCACUAGGAUAGGGGUGUUGUGGGGAGAGGUGACAGGCUUGAGAAUUCGAGCUUAUAAAAGUUUACAGAUAAUAGGUUUGAGGUCCCUAAGACCAGCUGGGUUAAGGGGAUUUUGAGACUGACGAAGGAAAAUGGAGGGGUUUUGGAGGGUUAUUGUGACUGGGAUGUGAUGUGUGGCUAUUGUGGGUUUAGAAACGUUUCGAACUUCAGGAUUAACAAAAGGUAACAGGGUGGAUAAUGAGGAUGAGGGGAAGGAGAGGGAAGCAUCUGGGCGGCAGAGUAAAAUAAAAGGGAUGGAAUUGUAGGAGGCAAAUUGUAUGGAGACCUGGGAUUUACUUUGUAUGUCCUGCCCCAAGAUAGGGUAGGACACUGAGGGAUAAUCAGGAAUGGGUGGGUGAAGGGGGUGUUGAAUAGGUUGCAUAAUAGAGAACCAGUCUGUUUGUGCCUAGAGGGGAUUCCAUUGACUCCCACAAAUAGAGAUAGAAGAACUGAGGAGGGGUCCAGAAUAUCCUGGUAAAACUGAGUAACUAGUCACAUAUUUAACAGGAAAAGCAUAAGCUUACCAGAUACUGACAGUGUUACCCUGGGUUCCAAGGCGGUGAUGGCAGUGGGGGGAGUGGAUUCCAGGCCCCAUCAGUCUUCAGUUAGAGGUGGUGAAACGGGAUGAAGAGUUUCGCUGAGCACAGUCCAAUGACCAGUGUUCCUUGAUACCACAGAUGGGGCAAGGUUUUGAGGGUGUCCUGGGAUUAGGGCAGGCUUUUGCCUAGUGACCCUGUUGGCCACACUUCAAACAGGCUUCCGGUGGUUUGUUGCGAGGUUGAGGAUUUUUGUAUGCAUUGGGAACCCUGUUGAACGGCAGCUGCCAGCAUCUGGUGUUUAGCUUGGUCCCUUUUUGGCUUUUGGGUUUUCAGUUUUUCCUCUGUAUUGUUAAAGACCUUAAAGGCCACUUUGAUUAAGUCUCUUUGGGAGAUUUGAGGGUCAUCCUCCAGUUUUUAAAGUUUUAUUUAUUUAUUUAUUUCUGGGGCUGACUGGGAAAUUAAGUGUAAAUGAAGGUAGAUUCUGCCCUUACUGGUAUUAGGGCUUAAGGUGGUAUAUUUAGUCAUGGCCUCUGAAAGGCAGGAGAGGAAAAGAGCAGGGGCAGCUUUGUUCAUGCCAGCUAGGAGGCAUGAUAUUAUAUGGCCCUGUUUCUGUCUGUCUGCAGAAGUUGCCUGAUAAUCCCAGUUGGAAUUAGUUCUGGGGACAGCUAGGGUCCCUACUGGGUUAUGGGCAGCAUCUUGUUGGUGGAGGGUGUUUGCAUGGGCCUGGGCAGCUGUCGAGAUGCAUUCCCUGUGCUCCGGGGUGACGGUGGAGGACAGCAUGACAUAUGUCAUGACAAGUAAGGUCAUAAGAUUGAGUGAUAUUUAGAAAUUCCUUGCAGGAGGUGGAAUUUGUGGGAAAAAAGCCGAGCUUCUUUUCAAGCUGGGAGAGGCUGGCUAGGGAGAAGGAAACAUGAACUCAGAUUGUGCCUUAGGCCCCCACAACCUCCCACAACGGGAGUACUUUGGAGGACCUUUGGGCAUGUGCCUGGUUUUUGGCAAAAGGGGGUUGAGUGUGAGACCUGGUAUGCAGUGGAGAAGGAGGGGGCGAAGGGCAACAAUAAGGGAGUAGAGGAGCCACAGCUGAAUGAGAAGGAGGAGGGGUGGGAUGGAUACAGAGGGAGGGGGUUUGUUAGCCAGGUUGAAAUUAGAGAAGGAAGCCUUGUCUGGAGGAGGAGGUGCUUUUGCAAGAUAUUUGUUGAGGAGGAGGAUUUGAAAAGGUGAACAGGGUUGGCAGAGAGACAACCACAAACAGAGAUAAGCAAAGCACCUCAGAUCAUUUACCAUUGCACAGGAGGAAGUUUUUUACAUUAUGUUGAAUUUGGAAAUUGAAUAUUUUGUUGUUUGGCCAUUGACUAUUAUUGUCCAGUUUACAUUGAAGCUAGGCCACAUUACAGAGGAAGGUACAGAGGCAAGUAAGGUGCUGAGUUUUUU